CAUGCUCCUAGAGGCAUUGUAGGUGUGGCUGUUGUGUCACAUGUGUGUCAUUAGGUGGCAGAGGGGGGAGAGGCUAUGUCUAUGCUCUGUGUUCUGACCUGUGAACAUCUGAAAGAUUAGUAGCCUAACAGU